UGGGGAAUAUUGGACAAUGGGCGCAAGCCUGAUCCAGCCAUACCGCGUGAGUGAAGAAGGCCCUCGGGUUGUAAAGCUCUUUUGUUGGGAAAGAAAUCCUGCCGGUUAAUACCCGGUGGGGAUGACGGUACCCAAAGAAUAAGCACCGGCUAACUUCGUG
rnacentral:rRNA from 1 species